CCUACGGGGGGCUGCAGUGAGGAAUAUUGGUCAAUGGGCGAGAGCCUGAACCAGCCAUCCCGCGUGCAGGAAGACGGCCCUAUGGGUUGUAAACUGCUUUUUUAUGGGAAGAAAAAGCUCUACGUGUAGGGCACUGACGGUACCAUAUGAAUAAGCAUCGGCUAACUCCGUGCCAGCAGCCGCGGUAAUACGGAGGAUGCGGGCGUUAUUAGGUUUUAAGGGUGUGUAGGGGGAAGAUUAAGGCAGUUUAGAAAUCUCACAGCUUAACUGUGAAACUGCCAUUGAUACUGGUUUUCUUGAGUAUAGUUGAAGUAGGCGGAAUGUGUAAUGUAGCGGUGAAAUGCUUAGAUAUUACACAGAACACCGAUUGCGAAGGCAGCUUACUAAGCUAUUACUGACGCUGAUGCACGAAAGCGUGGGGAGCGAACAGGAUUAGAUACCCCUGUAGUC
rnacentral:rRNA from 1 species